UAUAUUAAUAUCUUGGAAUUUCGAAGAAAGAAAAAUAAAUAAUAUAAUUUUCGAUAUUUUCCAAGAAUUUGUAUGCGUCGCUGAUUCGCGUGUAAAAUGAAAAAAAAGGAAGAGAAAAGGAAAGAAAAUAAAAGAAAAAAAAAAAAGAAAGAAAGAAACAAGAAAAUAACAUCACCAGGGAUGAGCAAUGACGAGCGAGGUCCCCUCGACGAUGAUAAUGCGUUGACUCAUGCUACUUGGAAUGACGACACUUGUCCGUCUUUCAACGGACUUGUACUCCUUACGUGAUGUAGCUCGACGAAUGGCCGGACGAAGUAGAGCGAGACGAAACAGUCGGCCAUUUAAAAAAUCGAAUACGAAGAAAGAAUCUAAUAUUUCGCACGUUGUCUAUUUAUUUAUGCGUAACGAGUGACUAGAGACGUAAACGGACGUAGAGAAAGAAAGAGAGAGAGAGAGAGAUGGAGAAAGGAAAAAACAAUAACAAAAAAAAAUGAGAACGUAUCUGACAAGAGCGCAGAUAGCUGUAAAAUAAAAUGGUAUUUAUUUAAAAUCCGUAGAAUGACACAUCGAAUUUGAGUUAAUUUCAAACACGAAAUCACGACGAGGCGAUCAACGACAAGAGAGGUCACGUCGAAGACGUUUCGAAGAAAACUGAGAAGUUCGAACUAACCGAAAGGGAUCGAAUCUUUCCGAAGGACGUUCGAGAAACGACGAAAGAACGAGAGAAAUAGGAAGAGAGAGAGAGAGAGAGAGAAAGUAAGGAGUGGGAUAAAUGAGAAAGGCAUCGUACCGUGAUCGAUAGAGAACCGGGUUGGUUCGAGUUUCAAGGGAGUUCGAAAAGACAAAGAAGGAAAGAUAGAGAUAGACAGAAGGAGAGAGAAAAAGAGAGAGAGAGAAUAGACACCAUUGGAAUACAAAACGUAGUAAAAAACGAGGAACAUUCUACUUAACCUCAUCGUAAGUGCGAAAGGGACAAAAAGAAAGCAUGAAUGAAAAACGGUUGACCUGUUCUUAUCGGAGAAUAAAAAAGAAGGGGAAGAAGAACAAAAAAAAUAAUAACAAAAAAAGAAACAGAAAAAGGAAAAUAAAAAGGAAAUAUAUACGGGGAAAAAUAGAAGAAGAAAAUGAAGAAGAAAAAAAUAAACGAGCACGUUAUUUUAAUGAGUGGCACGCGUGAGAUGAUGAAGGAUUUUUAGAAAAUGAAAAUAAAAAAGAAAAAGAAAAAAAAA